rnacentral:lncRNA from 1 species
UGCACGGAUAUAAAAGAACCUUGAGGAGAUCUCCACUUAGUGACGGUAGAUUGUCUGUUGAGCACGCGUUUGGUGAAACCGGAGGCAAGGUUGCCCCGUUCGAUCCGCUUCAUAACAGAGGAGGGUCAACGCUCACUACUGUAGUAUGCGGUGGUCCCAGUCGUUACCCUGUCUUCUUCUCCUCGCCGUCUUCUCAUUUUUCUUCGUCCUCGUAAAGGCUGAUGACGUAGUCAUUCAAAAAAGAAAGAGGCCUCACAGUAGGAGUGGAGUGCCUACUGUUCUUAUUCCGGCGUUUCGCGAGACUGCCUUCUUUCUUGAUUCGCCUGACGGUGCUCAGGCCUAGCCGGAGUGCAUUUGCGGUCCUCUCCAAAACUUUGGCAACAUCCAUCAAGGGUCCUCCAUUCUUCUUCUCCUCUUCGAAGUGUUGAAUGAGUCGGAAGACAAAUUCUCGAGUUUGCGGAUGCAGAAUCUGUCUGUUCCC